rnacentral:lncRNA from 1 species
AAGAAUCAGGGUGGGUUUGGUGGCCCAAGCACUUCAAAGCAUCCUUAUGUGGAUUAAGAUUUAGAGUGUUGGAAAAGAUGUAAUAUUUUUAUUCCUGAUUUUUUUUUUAAUGGAACUUGAUGUUUGGAGAAAUCGUCUCAGUUUUGGUUUUGCACUUUUAACAUUUUUGUGUUUUGGCAAUAUUGAAACUUAAAACUAACAACAGUUUUCUCUGUUAACAUUUUGGGUUAAUCUGACAGUCAUGGGGAACACACCAUGGGCAUAGAAUUAUUUUUAUCUUUACAUGACUUGCCCUCUCUUCUCCAGUAUUUCCAUUAGGUUUUUUUGUUUUUGUUUUUAAUGUAAUACAUCAUACACAUUUUCAGAUGAUUUUAGAAUGGGGCUUCCCUAAAUUACUUGGGUAGCUUUCAUAGCUCCACCCUUUUUAAAACACGUAAGUGUACUUUUAAUAUUUUCUUGUCUAUAAAAACUGAGAUAGAAAAUCUAUUUUUCCUCUUUUUGUCCUUUCUUGGAUACCAGGAUGAAAUUUUGUUUAUUGUGUGAAAGAAAGCUAAGACAAGGAGAUCUUCAGCACUUUAGAGUCAAAACAGUGGGUGAGAACUCUGAGUAUAACAUUCAGAGAGAGCUCAUGAUUUGUCAUGAGAAUGGAAUAAGGGAGAGAUCUAAUUGCCUAAGCAAACUUACUAGUUUUGUAAGUUUAUUUUAAACUUUAUCAAAAAUUUUAAACAUUAAACAUAUUAAAACAUUGUUUUCUUCAUUGUAAGCCAAAAUUAGGACACUGAUAGUAACAUAUUCUAUAAAACUAAAGUGAUCAAUACUUACAGUGGCACUUAAUACAACAGCAUUAAUUACCAUAGCUCUACAGAGUUUGCAGUACAUUUUUUAAGAAAAGCUGAUUUAAAGAUUUAUGAAGCUAUUUGAUUCUAAAGUCAAACCUAAAUUUAAGGCCUAGGCCAUUUGACUUGCUCUUUUUGAGCAGAAAUUUCAUUAUUAUGGGCCAUGUAAUGAUGAUCUAAACUAGCAGUAGCAUAGUCUAAAUUAGCAUUAGAGUUUCAAGAUUAAAGAGAAGCAGAUGAAAAAUGAGAUGCAGCUGGUUCUAAGCAGCUUGUUUUCCUCCAUCUACAAACUGACGACCAAUUUCGAUGUUAAAGGGUCUAGGCAACUUGUGUCUUCAGAAAAGUUGGAUAUGAAAAAUAGCCUCUUACUGAUAUUUUUCUUGUAAGGAAUUUAUAUUCUUCCAUUUUUGCCUUCAUGUCAUGUCUCCUUCCUUCCAUCCAUCACAUUUGCUCUCUUCCCCCUCCUCCUUUUUCUUCCCUUUCUUCUGUUGUCUAGCUUUUGUGGUAAGCUGUCUUGUUGAUGUAGAAAUGUGGUGAUCUUUUGUGUAAAACAAGGCGACUUUUUACAGACCAGAAAUAUUUUAUUGUUCUUGGAAUCAUAUUUUUGUGCUUCCAUGAGUACAUACUUUGUUUUUAUUAUUAAUUUGCAUAUUAAUUAAUUUUUUAGCAUUUCAUGGGGGGUGGAGUUAAACUAAUGAGUUUUAAUUUUUUUGGUUUUGGAUUCACUUUAGUAAUCCCGAAGGCCUAUAAGGUGAAAAAUCACACUUGUGUUUUGGAAUUGUGGAAAUAUUCUUGCUGGUAUUAUAUUUUGGUCUGAGAUAUAUUAAUACAAAAGACUUCUAGGAGGAUUUAAGUGGUAGUUAAAAGUUCCAGGACAGGUGACACUCACUUGAGUAGCUCAAACAGUAAUAAUAAUCAGGUAAUAAUUUACACUGGUUGACAUUAAGUCAAACUCUUCUGAAAUGGACUGACAAUAUGCAGUGCAGUUAGUUGUUGGUAGCACUUGACCUCCAUGGCAAGUAUGUCUGACAACUUGGCUCCUUCAUUCUCCUUUAUGAUCCUGUUCAUGGCAUCUGAGCAUUCCUCCUUCAGAAAGAAGUGAAAUAAUGACUCUUUCCUUUGAACAUAGCUAAUUGAUGAUCCAGGAAGAUUUCUGUAUUUUGAUGUAAUUUGGCCUCCCUUCCCCUCUUAUGGCUAUUUCCCCCCAUAGUCUUAACUUGGCAAUUUGAAGAACAUCUAAAUGAGUACUUGUUAGGAAACCUGGGAAAUGAAGAGUGUAAGAAGCAUGUGUUUAAGUUACUGAGAACUGAGACUUACUGGUUUGGAAAUUGGAGAGCAGAAAGAAUAAAGCUGUUUGUUUGUGAAUUGGGGUGUGAGAGAUGCAGAAGAGAAUGAUUGGAAGUAAAGUAGGAGGAAUUUUUAUUGACAGUAGAAAAAAGCAUUAAGAUGAACUCUGCAUGAGAGGUGUUGACUAAGAGCAAGGAGGUUGAGCUUCACUAAAGAAGUGUCAGGGGGUCCCUUGUUGGCUAAGAGAUAACUUGGUCUGUAGCUAGUAAAGGUGAUGGAUUGAUUAAACAGAUCAGUUCUGAUGUGUAUAUAUGAUGGUUUGAGGGUUUGUCUGCUCCUCUGAACAAAUUUAAGUAACACAGUUGUGAAAUGGCAGCUUUUCUGGUCAAGGCACAUUGGUGUUGGGAACUUACUAUUUUGGGG